rnacentral:lncRNA from 1 species
CGCCAAACGCAGUGGCCCAGCAUCCUCUGGCUGUCCGCCAUUUUCAGUCGGGAUAGCUGUCUGAGCUCGGAGGCCCCAUUCGCAAAGCCGCCAUGCCUUGGAGGCACAAGGGGAAGGCCGCCGUUAGUGGUGCGCAGUCUGACACAGAAGAUGAAGAGCAAGCUUAUGCUACUCCUAAAGGUGGGCAGAAGGUUCGCCGUAAUGAAGGAAGUGAGAGAACCGGUAGAGCUGAGGGAGGAGAAAGAAGCCAACGCCAUGUUGAAGCUCAGAGAGAAAAAGCAAAAUUGAAGGUUCCCAGAAAUAUGGAGGAAAUCAGGGCCUUAGGAGAACUUUUACUGAAAUACAAGGACAGCUUUUCGGUUUGUAAGAGACAUGACCUUUGACUUGGUUAUGGAGAUGCAGUUGAUGACAGCGCAGGUUUCCUGGCAUCUGAUACCACAAGCCUUUGGAUUCCUUUUCGUGGAUGGAGAAUGAUGAAUUUUCAUGAUGGGGAAGAGGAGCAUUUGAAGAAACAGUUUUAGAAGAAGUAAAGUGCCUGGUGGAAAAAAAAAAUUGAAAAACAGAGGGUUGGUGUUUAUUUGCUUUUAACACUAAUUUUAGUGUUAAGUUAAUAACUCUCCCUCCUCAAAGUCCCCUGCAUUCAUUUAUUCCACCAGUAAAAUAAGAGUUCAUUCAUAGUAGAAGUUUUGUUUGUUUGGGGAUUUUAUCUUUUUAUCCCCAGAACCUAACAGCACAGUUUCUAGUUCAUAGGUAGUGGUUAAUAAACAUUUACUUGCAUCGAACCUCCGUUCUCCU